rnacentral:rRNA from 1 species
CAGUCGCCGCGGGAAUACGAAGGGUGCAAGCGUUACUCGGAAUUACUGGGCGUAAAGCGUGCGUAGGCGGUGAGUUAAGUCUGCUGUGAAAUCCCCGGGCUCAACCUGGGAAUGGCAGUGGAUACUGGCUCGCUAGAGUGUGUCAGAGGAUGGUGGAAUUCCCGGUGUAGCGGUGAAAUGCGUAGAGAUCGGGAGGAACAUCAGUGGCGAAGGCGGCCAUCUGGGACAACACUGACGCUGAGGCACGAAAGCGUGGGGAGCAAACAGGAUUAGAUACCCCUGUAGUCCCUGUCUCUUAUAC